GACGAACGCUGGCGGCGUGCUUAACACAUGCAAGUCGAACGGAAAGGCCCUGCUUUUGUGGGGUGCUCGAGUGGCGAACGGGUGAGUAACACGUGAGUAACCUGCCCUUGACUUUGGGAUAACUUCAGGAAACUGGGGCUAAUACCGGAUCGGAGCUCCUGCUGCAUGGUGGGGGUUGGAAAGUUUCGGCGGUUGGGGAUGGACUCGCGGCGUAUCAGCUUGUGGGUGGGGUAAUGGCUUACCAAGGCGUUGACGGGUAGCCGGACUGAGAGGGUGACCGGCCGCAUGGGAGGGGGACCGGGGACAAUGGGCCUGCGGGAGGCAGCAGACGGGUACGGUGGGCAGCAGGGGCAAGCAUGAUCCAGCGAGGCGGAGUGUAAGACGAAGGCCUUGGGUGUGGAAACUGCGCUUGUACGGAACGAACCGCCUUCUCCUAAGACAGGAGGGUCAUGACGGUACCGGAAGAAUAAGCACCGGCUAACUACGUG
rnacentral:rRNA from 1 species